rnacentral:rRNA from 1 species
AUUGAACGCUGGCGGAAUGCUUUACACAUGCAAGUCGAACGGCAGCACGGGGCAACCUGGUGGCGAGUGGCGAACGGGUGAGUAAUACAUCGGAACGUGCCCAAUCGUGGGGGAUAACGUAGCGAAAGUUACGCUAAUACCGCAUACGAUCUACGGAUGAAAGCGGGGGAUCGCAAGACCUCGCGCGAAUGGAGCGGCCGAUGUCAGAUUAGGUAGUUGGUGGGGUAAAGGCUCACCAAGCCGACGAUCUGUAGCUGGUCUGAGAGGACGACCAGCCACACUGGGACUGAGACACGGCCCAGACUCCUACGGGAGGCAGCAGUGGGGAAUUUUGGACAAUGGGCGCAAGCCUGAUCCAGCCAUUCCGCGUGCAGGAUGAAGGCCUUCGGUUGUAACUGCUUUGUACGGAACGAACGGUUCUCUCUAAUACAGGGGCGUAA